GAGAAGAGAGUGGCUACUCUUAAUUUACAUUAUUAUUAUAUGCUUAUGUUCAUACAGUAUUUUGUAAGGUUAACUUCAGUUGAAAAAUAGUAAUUUUGUGAAUAAACUAUAUUUGUUGUUUUUCAGAGAGGCCAAUCACCACUUUUACUCGUCAUAAAGAAAAACAGAAAGAUGAUGGUAGAAUUUUUUAUUAAGAAUAAAGCAAACAUACAUGAAGUUGAUGAUAAGGGAAGAAUAGCCCUCAUGUUGGCUGUGGAACAUAAAUCAACACACAUAGCUGAGCUUCUUCUUCAAUGUGGUGUUAAUGUGUCUGCUUCAGAUAAUUGUGGAGAUUGCCUUGUCUUAUGCCAUUGCUAGUGGAAAUACUGCAAACAGAAAUUUAAUUCUUCAACACAUGAAAGCACAAUCUAGAACAUCAGUAAAUUUCAAUCCAG